rnacentral:tRNA from 1 species
CCGCCAUUAGCUCAUCAGGAAAGAGCGCCAGCCUUCGAAGCUGGUUGCGCGGAGUUCGGGCCCCCGAAGGCGGUCCA